rnacentral:rRNA from 1 species
UACGAAGGGGGCUAGCGUUGUUCGGAUUCAUUGGGCGUAAAGGGUGCGUAGGUGGCGCCGUAAGUCAGGUGUGAAAUCCCGGGGCUCAACCCCGGAACUGCACUUGAUACUGCGGUGCUCGAGUACUGGAGAGGAGAUUGGAAUUUACGGUGUAGCAGUGAAAUGCGUAGAUAUCGUAAGGAAGACCAGUGGCGAAGGCGAAUCUCUGGACAGUUACUGACACUGAGGCACGAAGGCCAGGGGAGCAAACGGG